GGUAUGGGCCAUUUGGUUUCACAUUUGUUUUGAAGGAACUUGGCAUUGGUACUGAUGAGGUUGGCAAAUUAAUUGCAUGCGUUUAAGCCAUAACUGACGGGCUGUAGCAUUGAGGAAAAAUUGAAGCCUCUUGUUGAGUAUCUGUACUUAUCAUGGGAUUUCCCAAGAUGGUAUGAAGAGAAUACUUAUGAGUAAACCAAUAGUUUUCUGUAUAGAUUUGGAGACGACCAUUGUGUGAAAGGUACGGUUUUUUCAGGACAUUGACAUUCAAGAUGAUGCCAUUGGUAACAUGCUUGUAAGGUUUCCUUCAUUACUAACAUGCAGCCUCUACAAGAAGAUCUGGCCAGUGCCAUACAGGUCAUAUUCUUGAUGACCAGAGCUGGAGUGAGUGAUAAAGAUAUUUCAUAUUUGGGAAGGCUAUAGCGUUGGGACCAGAGCUCUUAGGAUGCAGUUAAAAAGCUUGAGGUUAGUGUGAAAUAUUCUGUUACCUGGCAUACAUCCUCGACAAUUGGGUGAGAUGGUUGCCAAUUUUCCCAUGCUAUGCUCUUGAUGACCAAAUAAUUACCAAGGCAUAAGGUUUUGGUUGGGAAGCAGAUCCAAUUUAAAGCUGCGCUACAUGUUGGCUUGCACCGAUGAAGAGUUCAACAAAAAGGUUGAGGCUAUAGUGAAAAGGUGUCAAAGAUUUGAAGCUGGUCUUUUGGAAGGGGAUCUCUCUGAUUCACAGGCAACUGAUGACCCUGUGGAGACUACGAAGCUUUCUGAAAGUGAGUCAACAUAGUAAUUCAAUUCGUCUUAAGAGCAUUCUGCUAGCACUCUAUGACUGAGUUUCGAGACCACUUUUUGGAGCUCUGGUGGUCUUUGCUCUUUUUUCUUCUAUUGUUUCUCUGGCUAUCAUUGAGGUCGAGUCUCGUCACUGUCCGAUCCCUGAUCCUGGAAAAGAAUGUGGGAGUGCAAGCAAAAUCUGGCAUGGGAGAUGCGCAUCCGGAAACAAUUGUUAUAGAAAGUGCAGAAAUCUGGAGGCGGCAGAAUAUGGAAGAUGCGUUGGAUAUAUACAUUCAAAGUGCUUCUGCUAUAGAAGAUGCAAAUUGUGAUAGGAAAAGUAUGGAGCGUGUAUGUGGGUUUAAGAAUUCAAAUUUCAAAGGGCCAUAGGGAAUGUAAAAA